rnacentral:rRNA from 1 species
ACCUGAGAGGGUGAUCGGCCACACUGGGACUGAGACACGGUCCAGACUCCUACGGGAGGCAGCAGUAGGGAAUCUUCCACAAUGGGCGAAAGCCUGAUGGAGCAACGCCGCGUGAGUGAAGAAGGUUUUCGGAUCGUAAAACUCUGUUGUAAGGGAAGAACAAGUACAGUAGUAACUGGCCGUACCUUGACGGUACCUUAUUAGAAAGCCACGGCUAACUACGUGCCAGCAGCCGCGGUAAUACGUAGGUGGCAAGCGUUGUCCGGAAUUAUUGGGCGUAAAGCGCGCGCAGGCGGUCUUUUAAGUCUGAUGUGAAAGCCCACGGCUCAACCGUGGAGGGUCAUUGGAAACUGGGGGACUUGAGUGCAGAAGAGGAAAGUGGAAUUCCAAGUGUAGCGGUGAAAUGCGUAGAGAUUUGGAGGAACACCAGUGGCGAAGGCGACUUUCUGGUCUGUAACUGACGCUGAGGCGCGAAAGCGUGGGGAGCAAACAGGAUUAGAUACCCUGGUAGUCCACGCCGUAAACGAUGAGUGCUAAGUGUUAGGGGGUUUCCGCCCCUUAGUGCUGCAGCUAAC